rnacentral:lncRNA from 1 species
UAUAUUUCUUUAUGCCACUCCACCAAUAGAUUUCCUGCAAGUCUCGGUACAUCUUGGUGGCACUAGGAUGAAUAGAAUAUCACUCCCCAUGUGCUUCAGUCAUAAUCCUCUGUCUCAGGUCAUCAACAUUCGAGACACACAAUCUACCCUGCAAUCUCAAUACACCAUCUCCCCCUUGGGAGAAAACCUCUACUUUUUGGUCCUUGACUGACUCCUUC